UGAUCCAGUAAAGUGUACAUCUGAUGACUGAGAGAGGGAGAAACAUGAAGCUUGACCAGACACUCCGAAGCCCUUCAAACUGAAGGGCAGCCCCUUGCUAGGUUGGCCAAGGCUUUGUGGGUGGGCAUUUCAGUUUGACUUCUUCCUCUGCCUGAUCUCGCUUCUGCCCCUUUCUUUCACAGGCGUUGGUACCUAAUAAACAUCUUGUACCUCCAACUCCUACUGCUUCCAGAGAACCCAGCCUGUGACAGUUAAUUCCAGGAGGGGUGUAAGAAAGCAGGUAAUAAGGUUUGGAACCAGACCGCCAGACUGGCAAUGAGGACCCCAUCAUUACUGGCUGCCCUCAGAUUGGCCGUGACAGGAAGCCAGGGGUCCCAGGGCCCUGGCUCAGCAGAGCAGGAAGGAAAUGAAGGCCACCGAACUGCCAAACAGGAAGCAGCCAACUUGAAGGCAGAACCCACACCUCUCCGGACAGAAAGCCACAUGUUGCAUUGAAGUCCCAGAGUCUGGGAUUAGGAGCACAAAUUCUGGAGCAAGGCUCCAACUCUGCUAUUCCCGAUGCCAUGUAUGUCCCUGGGCAAGUUCCUUUACCUCUCUGGGCUUUAGUUUCCACAUCUGUAAAAUGGGGAGUAAAAUAGCCUCUGCCAUUGGUUGUUAUGAGGCUUGCAAACAUUCAUCCACAGAAAGCACCUCAAACCACGGCUCAGGUAGCAACAAUGCGAGCUCUUAUUACUUCAAAAGUUUAAGUUUUAAAAUAAGUAAUGUUUAAAUCCUCAUUUCUUUUCUUCCUGCCUUUCACCCCCAUGUUCCAGUUAAUAACUAAUAUCAAACAAGCAAACACACACAACAAAUUAGAAAUACUCUGCUAACCUACUUUUGGCAUUUGCAAUUGAACCAACAAUUGUUCUACAGGAAAAUAUCAUUAUCCUAUUUCAGGAUAAUGUAUAGGAGGAAAUUUUCAUCCUAGAUCCUACUGCAACUCAAAAUUGCAUUUAGUGUCCACAAGCUCCAGCUGCCAUAUUUAUGAGUAGCUAAAUGUCCAGAAUGAACCUCUUAAUUCGGCAGAGCCAGCAAGGCAAACUGGGAAUAUGCUGGACUUAGAAAUGGGUGGCCUAGGCAGGCACUGGUCAGCGGUGAAACCUUGGGCUCAUUACAUAAUUUCCCUGGGCCUUCUUAGACAUAACAUUGGGAUGUUGGACUAAAUGAUCAUUAAGCUCCUUCUGAUGUGGGCUAUGGGUGGCAGGCUCUUUGUCUCUUUAGAGGUAACCUAAACUAUCUGUGACUUGUGGGUGUGGGAUGAUGAAAGGUUGCAGUCCUGCCCUUGGUGAGCAGGAGACAGUUUAACAAUGCAUGGUCUAUAAACCUUCAAGUAUUCAGGGGAAAUGCAAAGCAAAUAUGCUAAAAGCUUAUCAAAUGCCUGAGGUCCAUGCUAAAUGCUUACUAAGAUGUGGAAAUAUAUGCUAUUUCAAGCCUAUUGAGAACUGAAACAAAAGGACCAUUUGGCCUUUCCUCUCUGUAUAAAAGGGACUAAAAAAUCUUGUUGGGGGCUCGGGAUUCAAACAGAAAGUUCCCGAGUCCAGCCAGCCGCCAAUAAACCAUUUUUCCUUCUCAAAAAUCAUUCCUGAGUCCUGGCCUCUCUAUACUCAAGUAAUUGAACUUCUCUCAAAUUCUACAACAUUUUUGGUGAUCGCGGCAGGACAACAAACGAAGGCCAGAGACGGUAGCAUUUUGCUGCCCCUUCCAAAUCCCCGAGGAAGCCGGGAGGACUCGGGUGAACCCCAAAUCUGGGCGCCCCUGGAUUAAAUUUAAUCCAGAAAAGAUGUGGGCUCCACCAGAAUCUUCCUGACAAAAAUCGAGGGCAAUGGAAGGUCUGAAGAGAAAGAUUCUGGGAACGAAAACGAACUCCGAACAUGGAAGAAGGUAAGACUCCCCAGGUGAGCACAGUCUGGAAGGCCCUAGCUUUAAUUGCUAGGAAGGGGAGGCUGAUCACCUCCCGAGAGAACCGUAAUAGCCCCAUAAAAUUGGGGGGAAGCCAUUCUCUCUAGGCUUGGGAAAAGGAGAAAAACCGGGAAAAAGCCCUGGUGUU
rnacentral:lncRNA from 1 species